rnacentral:sRNA from 1 species
AAAAAACAAACAAAAAGAAACACUCCA